rnacentral:rRNA from 1 species
AUUGAACGCUGGCGGCAGGCCUAACACAUGCAAGUUGAGCGGAGCGGCGGACGGGGGAGUAAUGCCUAGGAAUCUGCCUGGUAGUAGGGGAUAACGUCCGGAAAUGGGCGCAAAUCCCGCAUACUAUCAGAUGAGCCUAGGUCGGAUUAACUAGUUGGUGGGGUAAAGACCUACCAAGGCGACGAUACGUAACUGGUCUGAGAGGUUGAUCAGUCACACGGGGACUGAGACACGGUCCAGACUCCUACGGGUGUCAGCAGUGGGGAAUAUUGGACAAUGUGCGAAAGCCUGAUCCAGCCAUGCCGCGUGUGUGAAGAAGGUCUUCGGAUUGUAAAGCACUUUAAGUUGGGAGGCGUUACCAACAGAAUAAGCACCGGCUAACUUCGUGCCAGCAGCCGCGGUAAUUC